rnacentral:tRNA from 3 species
GCUCCCGUCGUUCAAUGGAUAGGACUUCAGUUUGCGGAACUGAAAAUCUAAGUUCGAUUCUUAGCGAGAGCACAA